AUGGCUGUCGCCGGAGGAGGAGUGGCGCUGAGCCUGCGCGGCCCGUCGGCCUCGGCGUCGCCGGCGGUGGGGCGGCUGCGUAGGGUGUCGUCGUCGCCGGCGGUGAGGUGCGGGGCGACGCGGGAAAGGAUGCCGGCGGCGGCCCCGUACGGGGCGCUGGAGGAGGACCACUACCGGACGCUGAGGCUGAGGCCGGGCGCCUCCAGGGGCGAGGUCAAGAAGGCCUUCCACCGCCUCGCGCUGCAGUACCACCCGGACGUCGUGCGCGGGGGCGGCGGGGACGGACGCCAAGACGACGCCAUCGACUUCGAGCGGAUCAACGCGGCGUACCAGACGGUGAUGCGCAACAUGCAAGAGGCGGAGGCGACGCUCGAGUACUGGCGCCGCCGCUACGGCCUCGCCGACGAGGACCUCGACCGGUACCGCCGCUACCUCAACGACGACGACGAGGACGACUGGUUCUCCGACUUCUGA
rnacentral:rRNA from 1 species